rnacentral:rRNA from 1 species
GUGCCUGGCGCAGCUUACACAUGCAAGUCGAGCGCCCCGCAAGGGGAGCGGCAGACGGGUGAGUAACGCGUGGGAAUCUACCCUUUUCUACGGAAUAACGCAGGGAAACUUGUGCUAAUACCGUAUAAGCCCUUCGGGGGAAAGAUUUAUCGGGAAAGGAUGAGCCCGCGUUGGAUUAGCUAGUUGGUGGGGUAAAGGCCUACCAAGGCGACGAUCCAUAGCUGGUCUGAGAGGAUGAUCAGCCACAUUGGGACUGAGACACGGCCCAAACUCCUACGGGAGGCAGCAGUGGGGAAUAUUGGACAAUGGGCGCAAGCCUGAUCCAGCCAUGCCGCGUGAGUGAUGAAGGCCCUAGGGUUGUAAAGCUCUUUCACCGGUGAAGAUAAUGACGGUAACCGGAGAAGAAGCCCCGGCUAACUUCGUGCCAUCAUCCCCGGUAAUACAAAGGGGGCUUUGGUUUUGCGGAAUUACCGGGCUUA